GUCACGAUAGCUCAAGUGGUAGAGCAGCGGCGUUUUUAGCCGAAGGUCGUGGGUUCGAAUCCCGCUCCUGACA
rnacentral:tRNA from 1 species